UAGUGUUAUAACUCUUUUAGAAUUUGUCUAGCAGGUUUUCUGGUUUUCACUGGAAACCCUCC
ensembl:snRNA U7 U7 small nuclear RNA